GAUGAAGAACGCAGCGAAAUGCGAUACUUGGUGUGAAUUGCAGAAUCCCGUGAACCAUCGAGUCUUUGAACGCAAGUUGCGCCCGAAGCCACUAGGCCGAGGGCACGCCUGCCUGGGCGUCACACGCCGUUGCCCCCCCAUCUACUCCUUCGGGAUUGCGGGGGGGCGGAUGAUGGCCUCCCGUGCGCCUAGCCGCGCGGUUGGCAUAAAUACCAAGUCCUCGGCGACGCACGCCACGACAAUCGGUGGUUGCGAAACCUCGGUUGCCCGUCGUGUGCGUUCGUCGCGCAUCGAGGGCUCGAAAAAAUGCUCGGCUCCGGCUGGGCUUUCAACGCGACCCCAGGUCAGGCGGGGUUACCCGCUGAAUUUAAGCAUAUCAAAAGCGGAGGA
rnacentral:misc_RNA from 1 species